GACGAACGCUGGCGGCGUGCUUAACACAUGCAAGUCGAACGGAAAGGCCCUGCUUUUGUGGGGUGCUCGAGUGGGGAACGGGUGAGUAACACGUGAGUAACCUGCCCUUGACUUUGGGAUAACUUCAGGAAACUGGGGCUAAUACCGGAUCGGAGCUCCUGCUGCAUGGUGGGGGUUGAAACGUUUCGGCGGUUGGGGAUGGACUCGCGGCUUAUGAGCUUGCUGGUGGGGUAGUGGCUGACCAAGGCUUUGAAGGGUAGCCGGCCUGAGUGGGUGACCGGCCACAAUGGGACUGAGAUACGGCGCAGACUCCUACGGGAGGCAGCAGUGGGGAGUAUUGCACAAUGGGCGGGAGCCUGAGGAAGAAACGCCGCGGGCGGGAUGACGGCCUUCGGGGUGUGAACCGCUGUCGCCUGUGACGAAGCGUGAGUGACGGUAAUGGGUAAAGAAGCACCGGCUAACUACGUG
rnacentral:rRNA from 1 species